UGGUUAGACUCGAAAUUCGACGUGUAAAGACUCUCAAACUCUUUUAGUUAACUUUUUGAGACUUGGUAAGAAAUUUUCAAGUACUAACAAAUCUGGAAUAUGCAAGUCUUGUAGAGUUAUAGAAAACUGAGAUAAGAGUCUGUAGAAUCUAUGGUGCUGAUACACUUUGUUCUUGUACGUACAUAUGUCCUUUGGGCCUGAAGCGGUUUGUAUGUAGAAAUUCUAGUUAUUUCCCAUGCUUAUGUCAAGCCCAGAGAAAAAGUUAAGUGACUGCGCUUGUUUGAGUACUUGCUAUAGAUGAUGGAGUUUGGAAUGGAUAAAUAUCUUGACACAUGAAUUGCUUCAUCAUGUUCACAUAGAAGAGAUCUACCAGCUGAAGCAAAUUAGGCAAACACACUUCGUAGCUUGAAACAUGUAGACUUACAACGAGUAAUGAAUUACCUUUAUUUCUUUGACCUUUCCUCCUAGCUUGCUAGUGAUCAUGAAAUUUUUGGGCAUGGGAUAUUGUUAUUGAGAAAAUUAUUUUGUUCCUUCCAUCAAGUAUUCUCCACGUGGACUUCAGAACUGUGAAUGGUUUUACCACAUAUCUAGUAAUAUUCGUAAGCAAUUUCAUGUGGAAAUAGUUUUUGUAGUUUUGAUGAUUACAAAAAUAGAUAUGUAUCCUUGUGAUUAACAUUAGAAGGAAGAUUGUCUAAAUGGUAAAUUUUUCUUUGCAGAUGGCCUUUAGAUUCUCUCUGUGUUCUUUAUCUUUUGUCUAGUAGAGGACUUAGUUGUCAUGUAAUAUUAUCAUUCUCUGUAAUUUUUUUGAAGCACAUGCUGAAGUUGUUCGAGCCUUUCUUGUGUUCAUUGCCUUCAGAUGGAGUGGUGAAUGUCUAGCUUCUUCAUUACAGGAAUUCCAACCAUGAAGUGGAUGGUUCAUUCAUUUCACAAAUUUAUUGCUGUAGAAGAUAUUAUCUAAUAUUUCUGCCACGGAACUUUUCCUUGUCUUUCAUGGAACCUUGAGCACUCUCUUCACCUAUGAAAUGAUAGCUGGAGAUCUUUAAAGAAGAUAAACUGAACUGAUAGAACAGACAACGAUUUUCAGCUCAGCUCAGUUGAACUGAGAGAACAGGAAAUACCCCCAACCACGAGGUCCACAGAGAAACACAGCACCUGCUGCAACUUUGCGUUCAAAAGAUGCCAAAUCCUACGUCUAGGAGAUUACUGCUCUUCAUUAGGCUAAAUGAGUUGGACAUGGACACUGGACAUUUGAUCGUGAAGAUUACCUUGACUUCAGAAGUUGAAUUUGCCAAUUGGUGAGGAUCCUCUUUUGCUUUGUCGUACCUUUCAAUCACCGACUUCAUGCUGUACAAAAUUAGCAUAAAUGUCAGAUCUUAUAAGUUACAAUGGUGUUCCAUGAAUAUGUAAGGAAUUUCUUUAGUAGUAAGUUAUGCAUUUAUCGUUUUGUUUGCCACAUGAUUUCCUAUAUAACUCUUCAUUGUCAAAAGAAACACAAAUUUCUCAAAAAGCAAAAGAAAAGUCAGAAGUGGUCGCCAAGUGGUAACUAUUCCUGAUUAUACUAUAAUCUAUUCUUAGAUUCAUGUACAUUGCUCAAUUCCUGUUAAUUUUUUUGAUCCAUGUAUACUCCUUUGAUUAGUUGCUGAAGACCAUCAUGCAAACAGAAUCUAGUUCGAGUGUCAUUCUGACUGCAUGCAGCAAGAAUAAAUCGAUCUGUACACAAGGAGAAUAGUAAAGAAGAAAUGAGUGUGUUUCUUCUAAUAAGCAUCUCCUUGUCUUGGUAUCUCAGUGUGAAAGAGUCAAAGUUUGGAUCAGUGUUGUAAAAAACGAUUCGAGCGCCUCAAGGCGAGGUGGUGCCAAACCGCUCUAAAUAUUAUGCAUCUAUAGU